UCGAUAACAGAUUUUUUUUAGGGAUGUGUUUGGUUUUGUCGGUUCGUUUCCAAUUUUUCUGAUUUUUUCUUCCAUUUUAGUAACAACUUAUUGCUACAAGUUACGAGUACGAAAAUUUAAAUCUUUGAAUCCUCCCUGGCGAAGAUGGCAUUAUCUAUGCUGCAUCGAGAACGUGCUCAUACGUUACUUUUUGCACUAGUUAUUUGGCGAUCCUCGGAUUCUCCAGAAUUUUUCUGAAUUUGAUUGUAUUUGUGACUGAACUGUCUCGACUUUCCAGGACUGUAAUCCUACGUAAUAAUGUCUCAGAAGCUUACUCAGACUCCUAACUCCGUAAAACGCAGCGGCAUCGUGAAACCGCGAAACCGAGACAAAGUCGUGAGGAAGAUUGGGGACUAUGUCAAGCACCUGUUGAUCUGUGGAGAAAUGAGCGAUGUUCAGUUCGCGGUCGGACGCGAUUAUGGCACAGCCAAGAUAUUUCCAGCUCACAGGCCCAUAAUCAGUGUCCGCAGCGAUGUGUUUCGCACGAUGUUCUAUGGAAGUGUUCCAGAGACUGCACAGUUCCUAUCGACAUCCCCGAUAUUCACCCCGAUGCCUUCGCUAACAUAUUCGGAGUCCUCAUUGUAGCUACAUGACACCGAUACGGUGGAGAAUCUCCGCGACGACAACGCUUUUCAAACGCUGAGCUGCGCCGACAAAUACGGUGUACCGUUCUUGAUUGAUAAGUGCUGCCGCUUUAUCGUCAGCAGGCUUAAUACAGACAGCUGCCUGGAUAUUCUGGAGAAGGCCGUUCAGUACCCAGAUGCAGAGCCGAGCAUUAUGGAAAUUAUGAUAAAAUGCCUGCUUCUGAUCGACCAAUCAGCCGAGGCUGUGUGGCAGUCGGAUCAGUUUUGUGGCAUCAGCCGAGAGACACUCAGCAUCAUUCUCCAACGGGAUACUUUAGAGGAGUUUAGCCGCUGAUGAAGCGACCAUCUAUUCAGCCGUUGAGAAGUGGGCUACGCACACGUGCAUGCAAAGGCAGAUUGAAGCGUCUGCCGCUAAUCGACGUGAAAUCUUGGGAGCGCACUGCAUCUUGUUCGCUUUCCACUCUUCACUGAUGCCCAGCUGCUGGAUGGGCCCGCCAAGUUAAGGAAUCUUUUAAAGUAGAAAAAGCCAGUUGGUUUCGAAUUCCUCGCUUUCUCAGCGGCAAUUUAAUUAUGGUGUUAAUUACGGCAUUUAUUUAUGGUGUGCAUAUUUUGCAGUGUUUUUGUAGGAGAAUAAUGGUUAGAGUCAGCUCAAUGAGCGGAUUCUCUUGGUUGGUUUAUUAUCUGAAAUGUGGCGCCUAUGUGAAAUCGGCUUCCUGGAGGUGUCAGGUUGCAGCAGAACUGCGUCUGCUCCCAUGGAAGCGGAAACUGUACCGAUUAAAAAAGUGGUGUCCCAUGCGUUCUCCAAAAAGGAGGCGGCUGAUGGCUGGGGAAUUGUUAAAUACAUCUCCAUGGAGGAUUUACUGGACCCGGCCAACGGUUACGUCAAUCCUGGUGAUUUCUCGUUGAAAUUGCAAGUUCAUUUAACGGUGGCCGUUCCGACUGGAACCGAAUGAAGGCUUUUCGAUGAGUUUACAUGAAGGCGAUUAAGACGGAUCAUAACAAUACGUGAAUAUUUAAUGCAACGUUGUAAAUUGUUUGCCUGUCCUUGAAGUUAGUUUUCACUGAUCAGGGGCACGAUUUUUGUUAUGAAUAAUUCUUUAUUUUUUUGGAUACUUCUGCGAUCGAUUUUUUCUACCACAGAUUCGAUAAUUUAUCUAAAAUAUCCAUGAAGAUUUGUCUAAUUUUUUUGU